rnacentral:rRNA from 1 species
UACGGAAGGGGCAAGCGUUGUUCGGAAUCAUUGGGCGUAAAGGGCGCGUAGGUGGUUCUGUAUGUCUACCGUGAAAGCGUACGGCUCAACCGUAUUUUGUCGGUGGAAACUGCAGGACUUGAGGCUGGGAGGGGCUGGUGGAAUUCCUGGUGUAGCGGUGAAAUGCGCAGAUAUCAGGAGGAACACCAAUGGCGAAGGCAGCUCGCUGGGACGUGACUGACGCUGAGACGCGAAAGCGUGGGGAGCAAACAGG